UGGGGCUUUGGACUUGAUUUCCUCUUUCUAGAAACCCGGGUGCAGGGCAGAAGGCCCAGGACUUGAGCUACAGUGCUCUGCCUCGACAAUUGACAAGACCAGCUAGCAACGAUGGGAAACUGGCUGACUGGAAACUGGUCAUCUGACAGGUCAUCUGGCUAUUCAUCUGGCUGGUCACCUGGUGGGUCUUCAGGGGUGCCCUCCGGGCCAGUGCACAAGUUAGAAAAGUCUAUCCAGGCAAACCUCACACCCAACGAAAACUGUCUGAAGCAGAUUGCGGUGUCCUCGGUGCCAUCGCAGAAGCUAGAAGGGUAUAUCCAGGAAAACCUCAAACCUAACAGAGAAUCUCUGAAGCAGAUAGACCAGGCCGUGGAUGCCAUCUGGGACCUGCUGCGCAGUCAGAUCCCUGUGAAGGAAGUGGCUAAGGGUGGCUCCUAUGGCCGGGAAACAGCCCUAAGAGGCUGCUCCGAUGGUACCCUUGUUCUCUUCAUGGACUGCUUCCAACAGUUCCAGGAUCAGAUAAAAUACCAAGAUGCAUACCUUGACGUCAUUGAACUGUGGCUGAAAAUCCAUGAGAAGAAGUCAGUAAAGCAUGAACAUGCCCUUGUAGUACAAGUGUCUGUACCAGGGCAGAGAAUACUCCUGCAAUUACUUCCAGUCUUCAAUCCUCUACGCUCCAAUGAGAAUCCCAGCUCCUGUGUCUAUGUGGAUCUCAAAAAAUCCAUGGAUCAAGUAAGAGCCUCACCAGGGGAGUUCUCAGACUGCUUCACCACACUGCAGCAGCGGUUUUUCAAGAAAUAUCCCCAAAGACUGAAGGAUUUGAUCCUAUUGGUCAAGCACUGGUAUGAACAGUGCCAGGAGAAGUGGAAAACACCCCCACCUCAGCCAUUGCUGUACGCACUGGAACUGCUCACUGUGUAUGCCUGGGAACAGGGCUGCCAAGCUGAAGACUUCGACAUGGCACAAGGCGUCAGGACCGUGCUGCGACUUAUCCAGCGGCCGACAGAGCUGUGUGUCUACUGGACAGUCAAUUACAACUUUGAGGAUGAGACAGUCCGGAACAUCCUUCUGCACCAGCUCAGGUCCCAAAGACCAGUCAUCUUGGAUCCAACUGACCCAACCAAUAAUGUGGGCAAAGAUGAUGGGUUCUGGGAGCUACUGACAGAGGAAGCUAUGGCCUGGCUGUACUCUCCCAGCCUGAAUACUGAGUCACCUGCACCAUAUUGGGAUGUUCUGCCCAUGCCACUUUUCGUCACUCCAAGCCACUUACUGAACAAGUUCAUCAAGGACUUUCUCCAGCCCAACAAGCUCUUCCUAAAGCAGAUCAAGGAAGCUGUUGACAUUAUAUGUUCCUUCCUUAAAAAUGUCUGCUUCUUGAAUUCUGACACCAAAGUCCUGAAGACCGUCAAGGGAGGAUCCACUGCCAAAGGCACAGCUCUGAAGCGGGGAUCAGAUGCUGACAUUGUUGUGUUCCUCUCCUCGCUGGAGAGUUACGACUCUCUAAAAACCAACCGCUCCCAGUUCGUCCAGGAGAUCCAGAAGCAGUUAGAAGAAUUCGUGCAGGCGCAGGAGUGGGAGGUGACGUUUGAGAUUUCAAAAUGGAAGGCUCCCAGAGUGCUGAGUUUUACCUUGAAAUCCAAGACUCUCAAUGAAAGUGUCGAGUUCGAUGUCCUUCCCGCCUAUGAUGCACUAGGUCAACUGCGGUCUGACUUCACCCUCAGGCCCGAAGCCUACAAGGAUCUCAUUGAGCUGUGUGCAUCACAGGACAUCAAAGAAGGAGAGUUUUCUAUCUGUUUUACUGAGCUGCAGAGAAACUUCAUUCAAACCCGGCCCACCAAACUGAAGAGUCUACUCCGCCUGAUCAAGCACUGGUACAAACAGUAUGAAAGGAAGAUGAAGCCAAAAGCAUCUUUACCCCCAAAGUACGCCCUGGAGCUGCUCACCGUGUAUGCCUGGGAGCAGGGCAGUGGCACAGAUGACUUUGACAUUGCUGAAGGCUUCCGGACCGUCCUGGACCUGGUUAUAAAAUACCGGCAGCUCUGCAUCUUCUGGACAGUCAAUUACAACUUUGAAGAGGAAUACAUGCGGAAGUUCCUACUGACCCAGAUCCAGAAAAAGAGGCCUGUAAUCCUGGAUCCAGCAGAUCCCACAGGCGAUGUGGGAGGAGGUGACCGCUGGUGCUGGCAUCUUCUAGCUGAAGAAGCGAAGGAGUGGCUGUCCUCCCCUUGUUUCCAAGUGGAGCAAAAAGGCCUGGUACAGCCUUGGAAAGUGCCAGUACCUAGAGAUCUAAAGACAAGUGACAUGGUGGGAGUGUUCACUACAGGAGGGAUCUUGUGGCAGGACCAAGGCUUUUUGUCAUUUGUCUAGGUGGUGCCUUGAUCUACCCUAUCCCUACCUGGCAGCAGCACCCAUGCCCCAAUCAAAAUGACAGCAGACACUAUCAAUUAUCCCCUGGAAGUAAUGCAGACCCCCGGAAGCUGUGGAGGUCAGAUCUACCCCACUGUGGGUGGAGUUACUAAGUAGGAGUCCAUUCAGCUCUGGAAGACGCUUCUGGAGUGAUCUGGCAAAGACUCAGACUGUGUUAGAAAAGGGAGCCUGGUUCAGUCCUCUCUGGCAGGCUCGCACCUCUAUUCUUCCUUCUUGGAAUCAAGACAUGGGAUUAUCCUUCCUCCUCCCCCAGGGUCUCACAGCACAGGCCCUGCUCUGUGUGAGUGACCUCCUUCAGAGACACUUGCCCCAUGCAGCUCGAUGGGUUCUGGUUUUGUCUGUAUUCUGUGCAGUUAUUUUCCUGCCUCCUGCUCUGUUAGUCUCUAGUCAGCAGCUCCAGACUCACCCUGUGUCACUAAGGUUAAGGCCCUCCCUAGCCCUUCAGCAUUGUCAAUCCCAACUAGCCCUCGGAGUCUUCCAUUGUGCGUCUUUGCCUGUCUCUUUCCCUGUCCCUGUGGAUACAGAGAUGUACCAUCCAUCCAGCAGCUAGCCAACUCCCCUCCCUCCACCUCUGCUGUUAAAACCCUUUCUCUUGGGGAAAUGUAAACAAUAUCUACCUCUCUUAAUGUCCCAGGACAAACUAAGCUGCAUUUCUCCCUUCCCUGAGAAGCCAAAGCUUCCCUGAUUGAGCUUAGCUGCUCACAGGAGAGGGGUUACAGGCCUUUGAAGCUGCCACACUAGAAGAUCUGCACCCAGCUAGAUGGGUGCAGAUGGCUUCCCUGGGGCUGCAUAAAGAGAACCCCUCCCCUCAUCUUUCCUCCUGUAUCCUCUAGCCCCUCUCAGAGAUCCUGUGCAAUCAGGGCAGAAUAGCAUGCAGCUGGUUGAAACCACUUGCUAAAUAACUCAGGUGAGGGUCCCAUAACCUUCCCAGCCCACCUCCCUUCCAAGAGUGAAGAUAACAGUCAACAAGCCCAGCUGUGAUGUUCAUUGAUAAGCAGGCUCUGGUGGACUCCUAAAGAUGGUGCCAGUGUGGCUCAGUGAAUAGCCCUGCAUAACAUUUUACACACACCAAAUGCUGGUUGAUAUCUCUUGCUGGCUGCCCAGGGAGCCUUCACCCCAGGGCUUUAACUGCACAGAGACAUGAGGUCUAAGCCCUUCGCAUCCCCAAGUAAGGCUGAGCCUUUUUUCUGCCUGUGCUUGCUCUGAUGCAUUGAGGAUCAUGCCUGGCCACUGUGCAACUUUUAAGCAGAGCCGUGCAACAUCCCAGGGAGUUGACUUCUAUGUAAACACCUUCAUCCAUUUCUGAUGUAUGCUUUGAGGUGGCUCAGGCUGGGCUAGCCCAGCCCAGACAGAAAUCCUAGGCAUGUGAUUAGAGGAUCAGAACCCUUCUGGCCCUUCUUCAGGGGAGAGAUGGGGCUGAAGGUGGGGUUCAAAUCUCAUGCCGAGUGAUGGAACCCGACAUCCCUAGGUGCUAAGGCCCCACCAAAUUCUCUGGAUAAGGAAGUUCCAGGAAUCUUUACUGAUAAACAUCCCAAUGUAUCAACAAGGUAGACUCUGACCUCCAUGGGACAGAAGAUCCUGGGUCAGUCCCCUCCCUGGGGACUCUGCAGUUGGCUGUUCAUUUAUAUGCUUCAUAAUAAAUGGUUUCUUUGUGUA